rnacentral:rRNA from 1 species
UACAGAGGGGGCGAGCGUUAUUCGGAAUUAUUGGGCGUAAAGGGCGCGUAGGCGGCCUUUCAAGUGACGGGUGAAAUCCCUCGGCUUAACCGAGGAACUGCCUGUCAGACUGGAAGGCUUGAGACCGGGAGAGGUGAGUGGAAUUCCCAGUGUAGCGGUGAAAUGCGUAGAUAUUGGGAGGAACACCAGUGGCGAAGGCGGCUCACUGGACCGGUACUGACGCUGAGGUGCGAAAGCGUGGGGAGCAAACAGG